UCGGGAAUUUUGGGCAAUGGGCGAAAGCCUGACCCAGCAACGCCGCGUGAAGGAUGAAGUAUUUCGGUAUGUAAACUUCGAAAGAAUAGGAAGAAUAAAUGACGGUACUAUUUAUAAGGUCCGGCUAACUACGUGCCAGCAGCCGCGGUAAUACGUAGGGACCAAGCGUUGUUCGGAUUUACUGGGCGUAAAGGGCGCGUAGGCGGCAUGACAAGUCACUUGUGAAAUCUCCGGGCUUAACUCGGAACGGCCAAGUGAUACUGUCACGCUAGAGUAUUGGAGGGGCAAUCGGAAUUCUUGGUGUAGCGGUGAAAUGCGUAGAUAUCAAGAGGAACACCUGAGGUGAAGACGGGUUGCUGGCCAAAUACUGACGCUGAGGCGCGAAAGCCAGGGGAGCAAACGGGAUUAGAUACCCAUGUAGUCCCUGAGCGGGCUGGCAAGGCGCAU
rnacentral:rRNA from 1 species